GUUUAACUCACUGUCGUCUGCUACCUAUCUGAAAUCGACACUUGUCGACACUUUUGUGUGCAUUUAAAAUUGAACUCAACUUUACAACGUUGUAAAUGAUUGAAUUAAAUCAUUUGGAAUAAAAAAUAUCGUAUAAAACUAAAUGGCAACUUCGAUUUUCGAUUGCAAGAAAAAUAUGAAUAUAUAGUGUGUUCGAAUUACUUAAAAUCACGAGUGUAAAUAGUCUCCAGUAUACAAAACAUUUAAAAAGUGUAAAAGGAAUACAAAAAGAAGGAAGAAGAUUCAACAUUUUUGAGUUGAAUCCUAAUGCCUCGGGGGAAUUAUUUCAUAGAAACUCUAAAAUAAGAUUGAAUCUUGAUGCCCCGAAGGAAUCGUUUGAUGACAACUCCAGAAUAGCAGUAUAAUUGAACAGGUGGCUCUGGUUGUUGAACGAGGCUAAAACAUAUUAAUAAACUUGCUUAUAUUUUGAAUUUCCCGCCAAAAAAACUUGAACCUAGAAGUCUCGGGCGACAGCAGCGCCAGUCGGCGGCGUCAGUCAACUAUCACUACACUUUUCAUGGUUGGAUUUUUUGAUCGUGUCAAAAAUCUCAUCAAAUAAUCAAGAAUAAGAUGUAUAUAUAAAUGUAUACUGCUCCGCUGCAUAACAUAAAGUCAAAAGCCAAGAAGAAAGAUUUGUGGCAUUUGCGAAUCUUACAAGGAGAAAACGACGUUUUGUCCUCGUACUUGACCUGUUAAAAAAAAAUG